UAUAGCAGCGUGGUAGUGGUUAGUGACGUAUAGGGGCCAAUUGACGCGCCUGUUGUGGUCCCCUUUAAAAACCGUAAGAGCAGCGGCGAUAUUACAUUCGCUCUUAGUCAGUAGAAGCGACCGGUGCGGCCAGACAACAAAAUGGCGUUUAAAUUAUUCACAUUAUUUACCUUAUGUGUAUUUCUUAACAUUGUAUUCUCAUAUCCUACGAGAAAUGAGAUUAAAAGUCUUAGUACAGAUGACUCAGUCAUCAGUCCGUCAGUUUCGGUGCCUAGUGAAAAUUCUAUUGUGAAAUUAUAUGUUGUUGAUGAAAGUAAAUUGAGUGUUGUCAAGCGGACAAAAAGAAAUGUUAUUGGAAAUGACAACUGUCCUCAAGGACAGAGGUGGUUCUUGGACGAGUGUAUCACUGAAGAAAAGUAUCAGAUAAUGAUGGGAGAAGACAAGAGAUAAUGAGAAGCUUCUUCUUUAAAUUAAUUUCUACUUAUUCGACUGGACAAUAAGGAAAACCAGGUUGAAACAGUCUACACAUAAAUAUAAUAUGCCUAUGUGACUAAAAAUGUAUUUAUGAUUAAUUUAUUAAUACGUUAGUUUAAAAAUCUAGUCAUUAUUGUAAAAUAAUAUUCUUGAUGCCUAUGGAAAGGGCUGGGCUCAGAUAGCUCUAGGAACAGACAAAUGGAAAAGGGUCGGGAGGUCUUUGACCUACAAUAGGACAACCAUAGCUAAUAAAGAUUCUUGCUCGUUCUUCUCCAUUCGAAGCUACACUUUGGAACGAGCACAUAGCUUCACUGACAGACAGACUGGCGGACAAUUCAGUUUGACGUCACAAAAGUGCCAAAUUAAGAAUUAAUUGAAACAAAUGCUUUUACUUAAACAAAUAAUAUUCUUCAUUGUACUAGUUAUUGUACUAAUUAUUAUUGUCAGUAUCUAUUACUUAACAUUAUACAUUCUUCGAAAUAUUUAUUCCAUUUUCUAGCAUUCAAUUUCAAUUUUUUUUCAUUAUGGAAAAAAGAUUAUGAAAUGAAAUGUAACUUGUGGUGAGCAUUUAAUUAUUUAUUAUUUUAUAAUUAAUGUUAACGUCAAUUAUUUUUUAAUGUUAGUCGAUUUAAGACUCUAUUGCUGUGAUAAAGCUUUAUUUAGUUGUAAUAAUAUUUAUUAUUAUUUUAUAAUUAGUUUAAUAUAAUAGGUACAACAAUUGUGUCAAUUUACUAUGUAUAUUAGUCCAUCCAAGUAGGUGCAAUAUUUGUAUAGGUACCUAAGUAUUUGUAUUGUAACUUAUUUUUACAAUGUAUAAGUAUAAUUACUAUGUUUUUAAUAUUUAUUUAUGAAUUUAAAAAUCUUGCUCAAUUUUUUGUAAUCUUAACGCACUUUUUAUUAAGUUUCUUAUUCGUAUGUCUAUGCAAAAGUUGUAUGAUGAAAUUAUGACUACAAUACACACGUUUAACGCCAAUAAAGAGAACAUGCAAUUAUUGCGAAACAAUUAAAAUGAAAUAAUAUUAUAAAUGAAGUAAUGUAUUGAAUAUUUUGUUGAUAGCUCUCUUUCUAUUUAUUUAUUACAAUUCUUUGUGAAAUUAUCUCAGUAUAUUUUUGGAAAUACUUUUAUACUGAUAUUAUGACAUGUAUUUUUAAAAAAUAAAUGUUUUGUUAUUUA